rnacentral:rRNA from 1 species
UACGGAGGGGGCUAGCGUUGUUCGGAAUUACUGGGCGUAAAGCGCACGUAGGCGGCUUUGCAAGUUAGAGGUGAAAGCCCGGGGCUCAACUCCGGAACUGCCUUUAAGACUGCAUCGCUUGAAUCCGGGAGAGGUGAGUGGAAUUCCGAGUGUAGAGGUGAAAUUCGUAGAUAUUCGGAAGAACACCAGUGGCGAAGGCGGCUCACUGGACCGGUAUUGACGCUGAGGUGCGAAAGCGUGGGGAGCAAACAGG